rnacentral:rRNA from 1 species
UACGAAGGGGGCUAGCGUUGCUCGGAAUGACUGGGCGUAAAGGGCGCGUAGGCGGUUUGUACAGUCAGGUGUGAAAUUCCCGGGCUCAACCUGGGGGCUGCACUUGAUACGUAGGAACUGGAGUGGGGAAGAGGAUCGUGGAAUUCCCAGUGUAGAGGUGAAAUUCGUAGAUAUUGGGAAGAACACCGGUGGCGAAGGCGGCGACCUGGUCCUUGACUGACGCUGAGGCGCGAAAGCGUGGGGAGCGAACAGG